GAUGUUAUUGAUUGCUGUUGUGUUAGAUCCCCGUUAUAAAUUGAAAUAUGUGAAGUUUUGUUAUUCUGAAGAUUACGAACCUGCCAUGGUGAUUGAGCUCACUAAGAAGAUAAGAGAGACAUUCAAUCGUAUUUAUGAUGAGUAUCAAAAGUUGCAGUCAGUUGAUUCUUCUUCAAGUCAAGCCAUUUUUGACAUGGAUGUCGACCAAUCAAUUAGUUGUACAAGUGAGCAAUUAAUUUCUCUCAAAUCGAAGUUUCAAAAACAUUUGGAAGAAGAAGAGAAUUAUGGAGGCAAGUCUAAAGUGGACAAAUAUUUGGAGGAAUCUUGUGAAAAGGAUGAUCCAAACUUUAAAAUUUUGAAUUGGUGGAAGGUGAAUAGCUCAAAGUAUCAAGUUCUUUCUCAAGUUGCAAGGGAUAUUUUAGCCAUUCCUGUAUCUACCGUUGCUUCUGAAUCGGCUUUUAGUACUGGAGGUCAUGUUCUAGAUCAAUUCCGUAGUUCUCUUACCCCUAAGCUUGUGGAAUGCUUAAUUUGUGCACAAGAUUGGUUACGUGCUUCGCCUCUCCCCAUUCAAGUUGAAGAAAAUAUGGCUGAAAUUGAAGCUCUUGAAUCAGCCCUAUCUUCUAUUUGAGGACUUUCAUAUCAAGUUUACUUUGGUGAGGUUCAAUUGACUAUGAUCUAUAGGGCAUACAAGAAGCUGACAGAUCUUCAGAAGGGUUCUACAAUCUACAUCCGUUCUGGCAUCAUCAUCAUGUUGAAGAACUCAACAAUCAAGGCGGGUUUGUCAUAUGAUGGCGGAUUUUUUCCUUUUUGGGUGUGUGUGUUUGCAGGGCAUACAA